rnacentral:rRNA from 1 species
GACAGAGGGUGCAAACGUUGUUCGGAAUUACUGGGCGUAAAGCGUGUGUAGGCGGUUCGCAAAGUCGGAUGUGAAAGCCCCGGGCUCAACCUGGGAAGUGCACUCGAUACUGGCGAACUUGAGUAUCGGAGAGGUUGGUGGAAUUCUCGGUGGAGAGGUGAAAUUCGUAGAUAUCGAGGGGAACACCAGUGGCGAAGGCGGCCAACUGGACGAAUACUGACGCUGAGACACGAAAGCGUGGGGAGCAAACAGG